rnacentral:lncRNA from 1 species
AUUCUGGUUUGUGGUUACAGAUCCUUCAAAAAGUCACACUCUUCCUGCUGCUGAAGUACAGACGGCCAUAAGAUUCGGAGACUUUGCUCUCUGCUUUACAAUGACUUAUUUAUUAAUAUGUCAAAGGUACUCUUCUGUUGGUUUGUAAUAGAGAUUGGUAUAGAUCAGUGGUUCUCAUCCAGGGGCAGUUUUGCCUCCACGGAGACAUUUGGCAGCAUCUGGAGACGUCUUCGUUGUUCAGUGCUGGUUGUGCACAGGAGGCCACCAGCAUCAAGUGUGGAAGUUCGGGUUGCUGGUCAACAUCCAACUGUGUCCAGGACAGCAAGGAACUAUUCAACCCCAAAUGUCAGUUGUACUGUGACUAAGAAACCCUAAUUUUAAAUGUUAGCUCAGACGGUUAGGAACCCUUUGCACAGCACUAUUGUGUGAUGGUCCAGCACAUGGAUUUUCAAGCCGUAGAUUUCCUGGCUGGGAUUCUCCUUUACAUUCAUGAAAAAUCAUGCCUCCACCCAGAUUUUCAUUUGCUUAAAGGAGGUAUUUCCUUAUAGCCUGGUGCUGGUGUGCACAGAUGCUCAAGCUGUUACUCUCAGAUUGAAGACCUGCAUUGCCCAGUAUAGCAGCCACCAGCCACAUGUGGUUCUCCAGAUGUUGAAAUGUAGGUAGUCCAAGAUUAGACAUGCUCAGAGUGUAAAGUACAUGCCACAUUUCAAGGACUUAGCACAAAAUAAAAUGUGAACCAACUCGGUAUUGAUUACAUGUUGAAAUUAUAUUUUCAUGGGUAUAUUGGGCAAAGCAUAUAUUAUUAAAAUUAAUUUCUCCUGUUACAUAUAUUUCUUAAUGUAGCUCCUAGAAAAUUGGAUAUCGCAUGUGAGCUUGACAUUGUAUUUCUGCUUUUCAGUGCUGCGCUAGAGGUGGAUGAGGUCAGCUUGUCAGGUGUGAAUUCAGUAAAGGCUAAACAGUAUCUCCAAGAACUCUCCUUACCUAAUUUGCACAUUUCAGUUAGAAAUCACUUAUUUUGUUUCUGUCGAAAAAGUUUUUAAUUGCCUCCCCAGUUGCCACCACCACCAGGAAUGCAAAUUUUCCCCCCAGAAAAUUAAUGCAUUUACCUUCAUUUUUUCUAGACUUUUGGACUCCUAAAGCACUAUGUACUUUAGCCAUAUGCAACUACCUGGCAGUUGAUGGAACAGUCCUACUGUACCAUGUCUCCAGUCCCUGUGCUCACUACACAUUUUGGUUUAAAGGACUUCUACUUGUCCCUCAAAACACAGCUUGAAAGUUACCAUCUUAGGAAAGCAGCCCUGACUUCUUCCUGUAGUGUACUUACCCCUCCACUCUCACCGAGGCCAUAUUUACUGCUUUCACUACUGCCCUGUGAUUGUGGAGGGACUGAUUGGCCAUUCUUCUAGACUGUAAGCUCCUUGGGUAUUUUUAUUUCACUUUGUAUCUCCAACACCUGUCACAUGAUAUGGUACUUAGUAAGUUUUCAGCAAAUGUUUGUUAAAUUGAAU